rnacentral:piRNA from 1 species
UCAACUUCAUUAUCCUUGAUUACUUGGUC